AGAGUAGAGUCUGAUCCUGGCUCACGGAUCUUGUCUCCGUAACCGUACACUUAGACGGGUGACUAACACGUGGGCAACCUGCCUAUAAGACUGGGAUAACUUCGGGAAACCGGAGCUAAUACCGGAUACGUUCUUUUCUCGCAUGAGAGAAGAUGGAAAGACGGUUUACGCUGUCACUUAUAGAUGGGCCCGCGGCGCAUUAGCUAGUUGGUGAGGUAAUGGCUCACCAAGGCGACGAUGCGUAGCCGACCUGAGAGGGUGAUCGGCCACACUGGGACUGAGACACGGCCCAGACUCCUACGGGAGGCAGCAGUAGGGAAUCUUCCGCAAUGGACGAAAGUCUGACGGAGCAACGCCGCGUGAACGAAGAAGGCCUUCGGGUCGUAAAGUUCUGUUGUUAGGGAAGAACAAGUACCAGAGUAACUGCUGGUACCUUGACGGUACCUAACCAGAAAGCCACGGCUAACUACGUGCCAGCAGCCGCGGUAAUACGUAGGUGGCAAGCGUUGUCCGGAAUUAUUGGGCGUAAAGCGCGCGCAGGUGGUUCCUUAAGUCUGAUGUGAAAGCCCACGGCUCAACCGUGGAGGGUCAUUGGAAACUGGGGAACUUGAGUGCAGAAGAGGAAAGUGGAAUUCCAAGUGUAGCGGUGAAAUGCGUAGAGAUUUGGGAGGAACACCAGUGGGCGAARGCGACUUUCUGGGUCUGUAACUGACACUGAGGCGCGAAAGCGUGGGGAGCAAAACAGGAUUAGAUACCCUGGUAGUCCRCGCCCGWAAACGAUGAGKGCUAAGUGKUAGAAGGGUUUCCGCCCUUUAGUGCUGCAGCUAACGCAUUAAGCACUCCGCCUGGGGAGUACGGCCGCAAGGCUGAAACUCAAAGGAAUUGACGGGGGCCCGCACAAGCGGUGGAGCAUGUGGUUUAAUUCGAAGCAACGCGAAGAACCUUACCAGGUCUUGACAUCCUCUGACAACCCUAGAGAUAGGGCUUUCCCCUUCGGGGGACAGAGUGACAGGUGGUGCAUGGUUGUCGUCAGCUCGUGUCGUGAGAUGUUGGGUUAAGUCCCGCAACGAGCGCAACCCUUGAUCUUAGUUGCCAGCAUUCAGUUGGGCACUCUAAGGUGACUGCCGGUGACAAACCGGAGGAAGGUGGGGAUGACGUCAAAUCAUCAUGCCCCUUAUGACCUGGGCUACACACGUGCUACAAUGGAUGGUACAAAGGGCUGCAAACCUGCGAAGGUAAGCGAAUCCCAUAAAGCCAUUCUCAGUUCGGAUUGCAGGCUGCAACUCGCCUGCAUGAAGCCGGAAUCGCUAGUAAUCGCGGAUCAGCAUACCGUAACGGUAACGGUAGAGGUCGAUCCAGUCUCUGUUAGUCAUAUCAAGGUAACCGUAGAGUUAGAUCCUGGUUCAGUAAGUCGAACAA
rnacentral:rRNA from 2 species